GUGCUUGCUUUGGCAGCACAUAUACUAAGACUAGAAUGACACAGAGAAAAUUAGCAUGGCCCUUGAGCAAGGAUGACUGCAGUUUCGUGAAGCAGUCCAUAUUUUU